rnacentral:rRNA from 1 species
CAAAAACGACUCUCGGCAACGGAUAUCUAGGCUCUUGCAUCGAUGAAGAACGUAGCGAAAUGCGAUACUUGGUGUGAAUUGCAGAAUCCCGUGAACCAUCGAGUCUUUGAACGCAAGUUGCGCCCGAAGCCUUCUGGCCAAGGGCACGUCUGCCUGGGUGUCACACAUCGUCCCCACCAAACCCAAUACCCCCCUCGUGGGCAUUUGGCAAGAGGAUGGG